rnacentral:rRNA from 1 species
UGGGCACUCUAAGGAGACUGCCGGUGACAAACCGGAGGAAGGUGGGGAUGACGUCAAGUCAUCAUGGCCCUUACGGCUUGGGCUACACACGUGCUACAAUGGUCGGUACAGAGGGAAGCCAAGUCGCGAGAUCAAGCUAAUCUCACAAAACCGAUCGUAGUCCGGAUCGCAGUCUGCAACUCGACUCCGUGAAGUCGGAAUCGCUAGUAAUCGCGGAUCAGAAUGCCACGGUGAAUACGUUCCCGGGCCUUGUACACACCG